AGGGGUAUAGCUCAGUUGGUAGAGCAGCUGAUUCCAAAUCAGCAGGUCCAGGGUUCAAGUCCUUGUGCCCCUGCCA
rnacentral:tRNA from 1 species